GGACUACCAGGGUAUCUAAUCCUGUUUGCUCCCCACGCUUUCGUGCCUCAGCGUCAGAAAUGGGCUAAGAAGCUGCCUUCGCCAUCGGUGUUCCUCUCGAGAUCUACGCAUUUUACCGCUACUCCGAGAAUUCUACUUCUCUCUUCCAUCCUCUAGUCUGCCAGUUUCUACCGCAUACUCCCAGUUAAGCUGAGAAAUUUAACAGUUGACUUAAUAGACCGCCUACGCACCCUUUACGCCCAAUCAUUCCGAAUAACGUUCGCACCCCUCGUCUUACCGCGGCUGCUGGCAC
rnacentral:rRNA from 1 species